UACAAUGCAACAUGCAUGAUCUCCCCAUAGC
rnacentral:piRNA from 1 species